rnacentral:rRNA from 1 species
UAAUACGUAGGUGGCAAGCGUUGUCCGGAAUUAUUGGGCGUAAAGCGCGCGCAGGCGGUUCCUUAAGUCUGAUGUGAAAGCCCCCGGCUCAACCGGGGAGGGUCAUUGGAAACUGGGGAACUUGAGUGCAGAAGAGGAGAGCGGAAUUCCACGUGUAGCGGUGAAAUGCGUAGAGAUGUGGAGGAACACCAGUGGCGAAGGCGGCUCUCUGGUCUGUAACUGACGCUGAGGCGCGAAAGCGUGGGGAGCGAACAGG